UAAGGAAUAUUGGUCAAUGGACGCAAGUCUGAACCAGCCAUGCCGCGUGAAGGAUGAAGGUCCUCUGGAUUGUAAACUUCUUUUAUCUGGGACGAAAACGGGAUUUUUAUCUCAAUUGACGGUACCAGAGGAAUAAGCACCGGCUAACUCCGUGCCAGCAGCCGCGGUAAUACGGAGGGUGCGAGCGUUAUCCGGAUUUACUGGGUUUAAAGGGUGCGUAGGUGGGCUUAUAAGUCAGUGGUGAAAUCUCCGAGCUUAACUUGGAAACUGCCGUUGAUACUAUAGGUCUUGAAUUAUCUGGAGGUAAGCGCAAUAUGUCAUGUGGCGGUGAAAUGCUUAGAUAUGACAUAGAACACCAAUUGCGAAGGCAGCUUACUACAUAUAAAUUGACGCUGAGGCACGAAAGCGUGGGGAUCAAACA
rnacentral:rRNA from 1 species